rnacentral:rRNA from 1 species
AGCGAACGCUGGCGGCAGGCUUAACACAUGCAAGUCGAACGGGCACUUCGGUGCUAGUGGCAGACGGGUGAGUAACACGUGGGAACGUACCUUUCGGUUCGGAAUAAUUCAGGGAAACUUGGACUAAUACCGGAUACGCCCUUUUGGGGAAAGAUUUAUCGCCGAUAGAUCGGCCCGCGUCUGAUUAGCUAGUUGGUGAGGUAAUGGCUCACCAAGGCGACGAUCAGUAGCUGGUCUGAGAGGAUGAUCAGCCACAUUGGGGCUGAGACACGGCCCAAACUCCUACGGGAGGCAGCAGUGGGGAAUAUUGGACAAUGGGCGCAAGCCUGAUCCAGCCAUGCCGCGUGAGUGAUGAAGGCCUUAGGGUUGUAAAGCUCUUUUGUCCGGGAAGAUAAUGACUGUACCGGAAGAAUAAGCCCCGGCUAACUUCGUGCCAGCCGCCGCAGUAAUAC